CAUGUUUGAACCUGCUAACUGAGCACUCUUUGAAUAUUCAAGUGUUGUCAGGUCAUGUUUGAACAUGUUAUUGAAAAUUCUUUGAAUAUUUCAUGUUGUCAGGUCAUGUAUGAACCUGUUGUUAAAAUCUCUUUGAAUAUUCUCCAAUUGUCUUUCCUCCAGCAGGAUUGUUAUCCUAGUGAAUUUCUACCCUCAUUUUUUCCUUGAGCCACCUUUACCAUAUGUCUCCA
rnacentral:lncRNA from 1 species